AGAGUUUGAUCCUGGCUCAGAAUCAACGCUGGCGGCGUGCCUAACACAUGCAAGUCGAACGCGAAGGAGGCCUUCGGGCCUCUGGAGAGUGGCGUACGGGUGAGUAACACGUGGGUAAUCUGCCUUUGGGUGGGGAAUAACGAUCCGAAAGGGUCGCUAAUACCGCAUAACGCAGCGGCACCGCAUGGUGACAGUUGUUAAAGGGGGGGAUCGAAAGACCUCUCGCCUGAAGAGGAGCCCGCGUCCGAUUAGCUAGUUGGUGAGGUAACGGCUCACCAAGGCAUCGAUCGGUAGCCGGCCUGAGAGGGCGGUCGGCCACACUGGCACUGAGACACGGGCCAGACUCCUACGGGAGGCAGCAGUGGGGAAUUUUGGGCAAUGGGCGAAAGCCUGACCCAGCAACGCCGCGUGAAGGAUGAAAUCCCUCUGGGAUGUAAACUUCGAAAGUCGGGAAAGAAAUCGCCAUGGAGAAUACCUGUGGUGGAUGACGGUACCCGACGAAGCCCAGAUUUGGG
rnacentral:rRNA from 1 species